CUUCCAGUAGCACCUUAGAGACCAACUAACUUAGUUAUUGGUAUGAGCUUUUGUGAGCAUGCACACUUCUUCAGAUACCAAUAACUAACCUAGUUGGUCUCUAAGGUGUUACUGGAAG